GUCGUCCGGUGCCUGGUCAUCAUCGGCUGUGGUACAUGUAGGGGGCGUCGACAUUCAGGAGCAAGUUGUAGCCACUGUUUUCCCCUUAUGUAAAACAUGACAUGUCAGUGGGUUAAAGUUAUGCUGUAGGUAGAUGUAGCUUUUAUACGUGUGUAAAACCACCUCCAAGUUUGUGUUUAUUUAUUCUUUUGCUGUGUAGGGCGAGGCCUGCUCUUUUCCUUUUAUUCCUUUGUCAGCUGGGGCGGGGAGAACACAGAGGGUAGCAUACUCUGCUCUGCCUCCAGCCUAGUCAGUGUUGCUGCAGUGAGGCCUGUACUUAGUCUGUGUGUGUAGUGACAUUAUUUGUUGUGUUGCAGUUUGUAGUGGAUUGUUGCCUGUGCGGGGUAUAUUUGAACUAAUUGUAGCACUCCUAGUAGUAUAUAGCUACCUGUGUGUAGUGAUGCUAAUUAUAUUCUUAGGGAUAGUAUGUAGCUAACUGCUGUGUGAAUGUGGCUAGGCCAGUUACAUCCUUGCUAGGGUAGGCUAUGAAAUUGUCCUCUGGAUGAUUCCAUCCUCAGCUGGCACCUCUUUAUCCCUCGCCCUUAUUGAAGUGAUUGUGCCCUCUUUUGGGGUGAUUAUAUUUAUUCUGUUUCUUUUCUUAUUUGGUAGCAAGCAUAGUAGCCUAUCUGCAGUGUGUGCACAUUGACAUAACGCUAUGUAUAUUGUAUGUGGAAAUAUUUAAGAACACUGGUUAUGUAACAACUCCUCCUCUACUUCAACUAAAGUAUUUAUAAAUAUCUAUAUAUUUCUGCUACAAACAAAUCAGACAUUAAAGUGCAGUAUUUUUGUA